rnacentral:rRNA from 1 species
CCUACGGGAGGCAGCAGUGGGGAAUCUUGCGCAAUGGGCGAAAGCCUGACGCAGCCAUGCCGCGUGAAUGAUGAAGGUCUUAGGAUUGUAAAAUUCUUUCACCGGGGACGAUAAUGACGGUACCCGGAGAAGAAGCCCCGGCUAACUUCGUGCCAGCAGCCGCGGUAAUACGAAGGGGGGCUAGCGUUGCUCGGAAUUACUGGGGCGUAAAGGGAGCGUAGGCGGAUAGUUUAGUCAGAGGUGAAAGCCCAGGGCUCAACCUUGGAAUUGCCUUUGAUACUGGCUAUCUUGAGUGUGGGAGAGGUUAGCGGAACUCCGAGUGUAGAGGUGAAAUUCGUAGAUAUUCGGAAGAACACCAGUGGCGAAGGCGGCUAACUGGCCCAUUACUGACGCUGAGGCUCGAAAGCGUGGGGAGCAAACAGGAUUAGAUACCCUGGUAGUCCACGCCGUAAACGAUGAGUGCUAGUUGUCGGCAUGCAUGCAUGUCGGUGACGCAGCUAACGCAUUAAGCACUCCGCCUGGGGAGUACGGUCGCAAGAUUAAAACUCAAAGGAAUUGACGG